CACCCCUCAAGCGUAGCUUGGUAUUGGGCACUCGUCCUUGCGGACGUGCCUGAAAAAGAGUGGCGGUCCUGUGCGACUUCAAGCGUAGUAAAAUAUCUCCCGCUUUGGAAGCCUUCGCGCAGCGGCUGGCCAAAACCCACACACUUUUUCAAU
rnacentral:misc_RNA from 1 species